rfam:Ictidomys tridecemlineatus contig058472, whole genome shotgun sequence.
CUGGGUGUAGUUCAAUGGUAGAGUAUGUGCUUAGCAAGUGUGAGUUCUGGGUUCCAUCCCCAGCACCUUAA